rnacentral:rRNA from 1 species
CCUACGGGGGGCUGCAGUAAGGAAUAUUGGUCAAUGGACGCAAGUCUGAACCAGCCAUGCCGCGUGGAGGAUGAAGGUCCUCUGGAUUGUAAACUUCUUUUAUUUGGGAAGAAACUCCCGAUUUCCAUCGGGAUUGACGGUACCAGAUGAAUAAGCACCGGCUAACUCCGUGCCAGCAGCCGCGGUCAUACGGAGGGUGCAGGCGUUAUCCGGUUUCACUGGGGCGUAAGGGUGCAGAGAAGGCCGUGUAGAAAGCUCCGGGCUGAACCCGGAAACUGCCAUUGAUACUAUUUGUCUUGAAUACUCUGGAGGUGAGCGGAAUAUGUCAUGUAGCGGUGAAAUGCUUAGAUAUGACAUAGAACACCCAUUGCGAAGGCAGCUCACUACGGAAAUAUUGACGCUGAGGCACGAAAGCGUGGGGAUCAAACAGGAUUAGAUACCCCGGUAGUC